GACGAACGCUGGCGGCGUGCUUAACACAUGCAAGUCGAACGGAAAGGCCCUGCUUUUGUGGGGUGCUCGAGUGGCGAACGGGUGAGUAACACGUGAGUAACCUGCCCUUGACUUUGGGAUAACUUCAGGAAACUGGGGCUAAUACCGGAUAGGAGCUCCUGCUGCAUGGUGGGGGUUGGAAAGUUUCGGCGGUUGGGGAUGGACUCGCGGCUUAUCAGCUUGUUGGUGGGGUAGUGGCUUACCAAGGCUUUGACGGGUAGCCGGCCUGAGAGGGUGACCGGCCACAUUGGGACUGAGAUACGGCCCAGACUCCUACGGGAGGCAGCAGUGGGGAAUAUUGCACAAUGGGCGGAAGCCUGAUGCAGCAACGCCGCGUGCGGGAUGACGGCCUUCGGGUUGUAAACCGCUUUCGCCUGUGACGAAGCGUGAGUGACGGUAAUGGGGAAAGAAGCACCAGCUAACUACGU
rnacentral:rRNA from 1 species